UAGCGUUACACCACGGAUCCUACUAAACUCCAAGCAAGUACCAACGUGGUAGCAAAGGUCACAUAGGUUUUCAACAGUAAGGCACGUGAUAGUUCUCUAUGUUUUUCGUCACAUUCCACGUGAGUAAAUAGCCGGCCAGCUCCAUCAUCCAUCUGGUCUUCGGACAACUUCACCUAGUGGCCAACCAAGCAAACACGCAGGCGGCAUUGAUAAUUGUGAAACGAUUGGUAACUUACUGGUGAAAGUCAUCCUUGCGUUCGAAUUUAAUCUUCGACUCUCUUUAGGUUGGAAGUAUUGAAUAAGGGAACUAUCUUGCAAAUUCAUUAAAAUCAUCAGGUGAAUCCUUGGAGAUCAAGGAAGAUCUUAUGGGAUCAAUUUCUACAUGGAAAAUUGUACUAGAAAAUAAAUUUAAGUAUACUUAUUAUAACUCAAUAAGGCUUAAUGUGAGCCAAUGGAAAUAUGGCAUGUGAAGUUAGGGUUGCUCCCCUGUCCAAGUCCUUUUUUCCACAAGGAAUUCUAUCCUAUGAAUAGAGACACACGAAACCUAAAUCUACACAAUUCUUCAAGCUUUAGUCAAAUCUCUGCUUCCUUAUCUCUUUCACACCUAAUCCCCCACAUUACUUUGUAUCAUUAGUUGACUUAACAGUCGGAGUACCAAUAGUUGCUGACCCUUUUUUCGACUUGGUGAUCUAGGUGCUAACGAUUUUUGUUUUUGUGUGCAAGUAAUAUAGAGAUUGACAUAUGCAUAGUAGGAUAUUUGUUGAGAGCAAAGCCCUAGAGAGUGUAUAUACAUACAAAAGACCAAUUGAUGUUUUAUUUAGAUUGUUGAUGCUAAUAUAUGAAAUUUGACUACUUUAAAGUAGGAUAUAGUCUUGCGCAACAUUAGGCUAAUUUUAGCUGACACAAAUUAGAUUGGUCUUUUGUAUUGCGUAUAUAUAUUAGCUACAUGUUAACAUGGAAAGUACUUGUGUGCUACGUUUGCCCGAUUAAAUAAGUUAUAUAUGUUCCAGCUGACGACAACUUGACCACAGAUAAAUAUGU
rnacentral:lncRNA from 1 species